rnacentral:misc_RNA from 1 species
AAUUGACACCAUUGAUCUAAAAGUUGUUGGAAGCCAAGGAGUUACACCCCUAAGUUUGAGUUUGCCUUUUGUAAUAAUAAUAAUGUUGAUGUUUUUAUUUUUGAUGUUGAUGACAAUAAGGCUCUAUAUGCUUAAUAUUCGUGGCUACUUUAUUUUCUGGUAGCACUUUUGUUGGGAACCUCUUUGAUGUAGGCUUUGGCCGUAGGAUGUUUCCUUGCACUCUCCUUGGUUGUUUUGUUGCUCCCGAUUUGGCCCUGCUUUGGUCUUCACCACCAUAGUCAUCUAGAGACUACUACUGUUUGAGUUCUGCAUCUGGAUCUCUAGUUUGAAGUAGCUUUUUCAAGUCUUGGUUGGAGAUGUUGUUAGCCCCUGAUUAAACAACUGCACCUCUCUUUCUCAAUGCUUGGUGGUCUCUUCUUGCCUCAUAUGAGUUUCAGUUUGCCAGAAUCAAUGGUUGAGGAGGUUUUCUCAGUAAUGGAGUCACUGGUUCUUCUUUCGGUGAUGGAGAUGCGGUGGAAGCUACAAGCAGCAGCUAGGGCAUCCCUUGGUGAUUGAAAGAGUGAUGACCCGAUUCUUGCUCUUGGUUUAGAUUGGGCAUUUUGGAUUUCCUAUCUGUUGGGUUUUGAUUAGUUAGGCUUAGGUCUGCUUUUAAUGCUUGUGAUUUGUGUUUAAUUAGGGGCUUUUUUAUAUUUAUGAUUGUGGGCAUAGUGUUAUUUUGUUAAUAUUGUAUUAUUAUAGCCUAUCCGGAUCAAUGAAUUAUCAUCUAUCUAUUGA